AGCAGCCGCGGUAAUUCCAGCUCCAAUAGCGUAUAUUAAAGUUGUUGCAGUUAAAAAGCUCGUAGUUGAAUUUCGAGAUCAGUACGCUGGUCGUGCCUUCGGUAUGCACUGGUGUCACUGGUUUCUCCCUUCUGAAGAACCGUCAUGCCAUUCAGUUGGUGUGGCGGGGAAUCAGGACUGUUACUUUGAAAAAUUAGAGUGUUUAAAGCAGGCUCGCGCUUGAAUACAUUAGCAUGGAAUAAUGAAAUAGGACGUUUGACCCUAUUUUGUUGGUUUCUAGGAUCGACGUAAUGAUUAAUAGGGAUAGUUGGGGGCAUUAGUAUUCAAUUGUCAGAGGUGAAAUUCUUGGAUUUAUUGAAGACUAACUACUGCGAAAGCAUUUGCCAAGGAUGUUUUCAUUAAUCAAGAACGAAAGUUAGGGGAUCGAAGACGAUCAGAUACCGUCGUAGUCUUAACCAUAAACUAUGCCGACUAGGAUCGGAUGAUGUUAAUUUUUAAUGUACUCAUUCGGCGUCCG
rnacentral:rRNA from 1 species